UUGACCUCAAAUCGGGUGAGACUACCCGCUGAACUUAAGCAUAUCAUAAGCGGAAGAA
rnacentral:rRNA from 1 species